rnacentral:rRNA from 1 species
GACGAACGCUGGCGGCGUGCUUAACACAUGCAAGUCGAACGGAAAGGCCCUGCUUUUGUGGGGUGCUCGAGUGGCGAACGGGUGAGUAACACGUGAGUAACCUGCCCUUGACUUUGGGAUAACUGCAGGAAACUGGGGCUAAUACCGGAUAGGAGCUCCCGCUGCAUGGGGGGGGUUGGAAAGUUUCGGCGGUUGGGGAUGGACUCGCGGCUUAUCAGCUUGUUGGUGGGGUAGUGGCUUACCAAGGCUUUGACGGGUAGCCGGCCUGAGAGGGUGACCGGCCACAUUGGGACUGAGAUACGGCCCAGACUCCUACGGGAGGCAGCAGUGGGGAAUAUUGCACAAUGGGCGGAAGCCUGAUGCAGCAACGCCGCGUGCGGGAUGACGGCCUUCGGGUUGUAAACCGCUUUCGCCUGUGACGAAGCGUGAGUGACGGUAAUGGGUAAAGAAGCACCGGCUAACUACGUG